rnacentral:rRNA from 1 species
UACAGGGGGGGCAAGCGUUGUUCGGAAUUACUGGGCGUAAAGGGUCUGUAGGUGGCUUGCUAAGUCAGACGUGAAAUCCCUCAGCUUAACUGGGGAACUGCGUCUGAUACUGGCGAGCUUGAGUGCAGGAGAGGAACGCGGAAUUCCAGGUGUAGCGGUGAAAUGCGUAGAUAUCUGGAGGAACACCGGUGGCGAAGGCGGCAUCCUGGACCGGCAUUGACGCUGAGGAGCGAAAGCCAGGGGAGCAAACGGG